AAUUUUAAAAGAUAUUUAGUUGAUGUUUUUUAAAGAAUAUUUAUGAGAUCAAUUUUUUUAAAAAAGUAUUAGAAUAGACAUGGAGUUAAAUGGAAGUGUUAAGAUCAUACACUGUAAUAGUGAGAUGGUUUAAAUAUGGUUUGACACUUGUAAAUUCAAUUAUAAAAUUUUAUAAUUUGUCCUCCAUAUUUGCAAUUGCAUUACGACAUAACCUGUUUCAAAUUCUUCUUAGUCGCAACAUGGACAACCUUUUACCGAGCAUUGAGAUGUGUGACUGGAAUGCCAAGGUGUUCAGAAUCAUCUUCCAUUGUGCUGACCGCAUCUCCUUCACUCAUCUCGAGAUUUACCGGAGUGGACAAGUCUACAAGUUUGUGCACGGGACUCCUCACUAUCUUGUGGUUAACGUGACGUGAGAGGGUGUUCAGAUUCGAAUUCAGGAGAAAUAGAGUGGAUAUUUAGUUUUUCUAUGUUUUAUUUUAAAAUUGUAGUAGAUGUGUAUGCUUUGACAUUAGAUGUUUAUAUCUAUUUUUGACAAACGAGAUGUAAAAGAAACGAAAAUAUAUAUCCAGACACAAGAUUUUGGGAGGUUAUUUUGUUUAUUAGAUUGUUAUAAUUUAGUCGUUAAAAUCCAUGCAUAUAGCUUUCAAUUGGCAGUUUAGGUAUCUGCAUAUAGCUUUUGUUUAUGAGAUUUUUUUAUAUUAUAAAAUUAUUGGUGGUAUGUUGUGUAUAUUU
rnacentral:sRNA from 1 species